ensembl:lncRNA
AUGAAGGAUGGAGACGUGUCUUUGAUUCUGAAGAAUGUGACGAUUAAUGACACUGGAACAUACGAGUGCCGCAUCCUCAUAGAUGAAACACAAUCAUGGAUGCUCAUCAGCAGCAUCUACCUGAUUGUCGCUGAUCCUCUAGACCUGAAAAACAUCACAGCUGAGUCUGGAGAGAAAGUCACUCUGCCAUGUCGAGCUCCAAACAACAACAUCAUAGCUGUAGAGUGGAACAGAGCUGACCUGGGGACAGAUAAUAUCUUUUUAUAUCAGGAUAAGCAGUCUAUGUUAGACAACCAGCAUCCAUCUUUUAAGAACCGGGUGGAUCUGCAGGACAGACAGAUGAAGGAUGGAGACGUGUCUCUGAUUCUGAAGAGUGUGACGAUUAAUGACACUGGAACGUACAAGUGUUGUUUCUUCAUGAGGGGAACAAAUCGUGGGAAGAGAGCUAAUCUGAAGACUCACUCCAUCAACAUCAUCAGCCUGAGAGUUGAUCCUCCAGGUGAGUGAGUAGAGUAGAGUGUGUGUGUGAUCAGAGGUGAAGCUGCUUCCUGGUUGUUGAUGUUUGUUUCUAAAGAUGUUGUUGAUGAGACUUUGUAGAAAGCAGCUGGUCUGAGUGAUGUGAUCAGAGUGCAGUAGAUAAUGUCUGACAGCAGUUUGAAGAGGAAAUGGAUUCUGUUCUGUUCUUCACUCAUCACCUACCUGACAGCUGACACCUCACACCUGUUUCUCACCUGCAGGUCAGACAGGAGGACACACAGAGGAUGGAGGGAAGGAGGCUAAAGGCAAGAAGGAUGGAUCUGUUGGACUGAAAGUUGGUCUCUCAGUUGCUGUUAUUGUUGUUGCUGCUGUUGUUGUUUUUUUGAUCUACCUAAAACAAUGUAACCAGAUUCAAUAUCAGGCUCCAGUUGAACUUCAGUCUGUUUGAAAUGUUUCCGUUUUUUUUCCAGCUGAUCUGAUUCUCUGUUUCAACUUCUCAGAGGUGACACUGAGCAUUCAGAGCAGGGGCUAUUUUAGCCCAUUUUGAAUCAAAGCACCCCCAAAGAUUUCUUUCUUUCUUUCUUUUUUUUUUUUUUACAAUAUUUUGUAAUAUUUUCUGUUUGUGGGACACACUACUAAAAACAUAAAAAGCAUACAGUACUUAAUUGAGAUGGAACAUUUUAACAACAAAAGUAUAGAUAGAUAUAUAUAGUUAGGUAGCAGUCAGACCAUGUUUCUUAUAGGCUGAAAAACAUUACACCAGGUAACCUGCAGUGUUGAAAACGUGUUUCCCGACUAUGUUUGCUACAAUCCGUCCUGCUCUGUAGAAAAAUCAUUGACAUUUGACCGUCCUGUUGCUCCCAUUGAAAUGUAUAUAACCUAUUUAAAAUCUAAAACUUAACAUUGUCCGUAGCUACUGUUGUUACCACUGUCCUGUUUGAAAUGCAAUGAGAGAAACUGGUUAUUUUGUCCUAUGUGCAUGUGCCGAUAUUAUGCAUGUGCCCAUUAACCUUAUAACUCCUGGUGUGUGUGUGUGUGUGUGUGUGUGUGUGUGUGUGUGUGUGUGUGUGUGUGUGUGUGUGUGUGUGUGUGUGUGUGUGUGUGAUCCAGGUAAACGUGUAAGAUUAAUAAAGGAUAAUGUUGGUUCAGUGUUUCAAUAUUUAUAUCCUUUAUUAGAUGUACAUGUGGUUUGGUCAUUUGCCUUUUGGUUGAAAGUACACUGAGAGAGGACUUUUUUAUUAGUGAUCUUUAUAGUAUUUUGUAUUCAAUUAGAUUUAAAAAUCUAUUUGUGUAUGAUUGUCAGUCCAAAGAGGGAGAGAGGAAAGAGGAGAACCUGAGGAGAAAGUACAAGGUCAGGAAGAACCAGGUAAGAAAACAGACAGGGAACAGUGACAGGCACAACAGAAACUGUUAAACUGACAAAGAAAAAAACAAACAAACUAAUUUUACUCAUAAAAUCUGGAAGUUGUGUCCUCCCUAUAUUAAAGCUGCUAUACAGAAUCUGCAAAACAAACUGGGUUGUCAGCCCUGGCACUGCAUUACCAUAUUGAACUUCAGUCAGAGGAAGUCACAGUUGCCAAAAACUUUUUGAAGCUCAAGAGUGAGGCUGGUGCCGUUCCAGAUAUGUUAACAUUGUACAAUCUUCUGGAUAAUCAGAUCUUCCCCACACUGAAAGCUGUUGUUCAGGUUGCCCUAACAAACCCAGUUAGCAGCUGUAGCUGUGAAAGGUCUUUUAGUGUCUUGAGUCAGCUCUAUACCUGGCUGAGAAGGACCAUGGGUCAAAGCAGACUCCAGCACCUGGCUGUGAUGUCAGUUGAGAAAGAGAUGCUUGAGAGACUUGACCACCAAAAUGUGAUAGACAGAUUUGCCAACCUCAAGGUGAGGCGACAUAGGUUAAAAGAAAGAAAAAUCUGCAGAGCCACAGUAGUAUCUGCAGUAAAGAUCUUUUCAUACAUUGUAUACAUUGUACCAGAGGCCAAGGUGUCUCCAUUUUUCUAAUUUUUUAAUAAUAUUUUGUACAUUUCAAGGACUCGUCUAUUUUUGGAGUGUAUUUUCUAUGUAUCUGUAUUAUAUUAUACAUACACAUUAAAAGUGAAUCUCUGUGCAAAAAAUGCGCUCAGUUUACUUCUUACUCACCAUGAGCAUCAUUCAUUAUUCUCCCCAGUAAUUAAGGUUAGGAUAUGUAUUUUUAAAAAAAAUUCCAAUCCAUUCUUCUUUUGCAGCAUUUAAAUAACCUUUAUCAGAUUUGAUGGUUUUGUUACAGACUUUAAAAAAGUGUUUUGCUUUUCUUUCACAAAUGUGGGGAUUAAAUUGUGUUAAAAUGUACAAAACAGUGAUGUCAUGUUUUGUGACGAGGAACAGGCACAGAGAGACUUGAUGAAUUUAAGAAUCUUA